GACGGAGGGUGCUAGCGUUGUUCGGAUUUACUGGGCGUAAAGGGCGCGUAGGCGGCCCUGUCAGUCGGGUGUGAAAGCCCGGGGCUCAACCCCGGAACGGCACCCGAGACGGCAGGGCUGGAGACCGGGAGAGGAGGGUGGAAUAGCCAGUGUAGAGGUGAAAUUCGUAGAUAUUGGCUGGAACACCGGUGGCGAAAGCGGCUCUCUGGCCCGGUUCUGACGCUGAGGCGCGAAAGCGUGGGGAGCAAACAGG
rnacentral:rRNA from 1 species